AAAAGAAUAUUUAAGUUGUUUUUUGUUCUUCUCUGUGUAAGUUGCUUCUGGGUGGACUGCUGGAGCAGAGGACAUUGGUGACUUUAAGUCUGAUUUUAUUGGCUACA